rnacentral:lncRNA from 1 species
GUUCAGACAGUACAGAAAUAUAAAUGGUACAGGGUUAGUUAGUAAAGACAAAGAAAAGAUUCUAGAAAGUACUUAGCACAUCAGUUGAUUUCUUGUUGCGGGGGCUUUGGAGCAAAGUCCUAAGGAUGACUAUGAGCAUCUGAUUUCAAGACGGGAAGAGAGAGUCAAGAGGAAGAACACACAGACAAGCGAAUUCCAGAAGACACAGAGAGAACCUGGAGAAUGGGGGAUGACUCAGAGAUGACGAUGUCAUCAGUGAGAAAGCUGAAGACUAGGAAGUGACCGCCUAGCAGGAAGAGAGACCUACACCCAGUGAGGCUUGUGCCCUAGGUCUCGGGAUGUGUGUGAAGUAAGUUGGUCUCCAGGUUCCCGAGAGAAUGUGUGUGUAGAGAUUUACCACAUAGCUGGCUCAGUUUGUUGCAUCCAAGCCCAGAGUAAGAAGAAGCCAUGUUCUAAGGCACAUGUCCCUGCCAGCAUGUGAGUCAUCAAGGACACUAAGACAACAAGCAAAUCUCUUCAAGUCACAGAGAAGGAUCUUGCUGAAAAGAAUUAGUGAAAAUUUCCCCAAUGGUGGACCCAUUGUCCGUUACAUGCAGCAGCCUGAGACUGCACAUAUGUCCAGAGGAGCUGAAGUCAGAGUGUUGAAGAGAGCUCAUGCUUACUGUACCAGGAUCCACAACAGCUAAGACAUGGAGCCUACAAAGUCUCUAGCUACAGAUGGAUCGAUGAGAGGAUUUAAACCUCAAGUUGUUGGCCAUGUCAGAUUCCUCCUGUGUUCUGUAAAUGGAGUCAUGGGCUUAGGGGAUGGAAAGCCCAUGGUGGAUAAACUGGUGUGUGUGUCAAGGCUGAUGGCUCAAUAUCAUAUGUUCAUGGUCCAUGGAUACCUACCGGAGGGAGGAGACAUUCCUGGAAGAAAGGAUGCCUGGUGCCUCAUUCAAGAACGCCACGGAAUGAACAAGAACAGCUCUGAUCCUUCUAUCCCUCAUUCUCUGGGAAUGAGGAAGCUGCAGAAUGUCCAUGCAUAAUUGCUCUGGGCGGUUCAAAGCUCAUUUUCUUGAAGGGAGCGAAUUCCCCGCUGCAGAUAUUACUGUGUGUACAAUGUGCCUCCAUUGUGAAUCAUUUCAUCACUAUUUUGUAAGUGUCCAGGGUCUGCAUUGGAAUGGAGACACUUUAAUUAUUAAAUUAACACAAUUUAAUGGUCGAUAUGUUCCAUUCCUCACUAGACUUUAUAUUUUUAAAAUUAACCAUUGCUUUCUUCCUAAUGAUAUAGAGAAUGUCUUAGUGAUAUAGAGUAUAAUGUCUUCGCUUCAUAUUGAGGAAUACUGGGUGUUUCCUUAAAUCUCCAAAACUGACGUGUUGCUGGAAAACAUCCACACAUGAGGCCUUUCCUAUGCUUUUUUUUCUUUAUUGGCUUUUGUUCUAUCCAUGUCAUUUUAUCACAUUUCGAUACUUUAAUGAACUAUCAUACCACAAAUCUUACACACAGUGCUUAUCAUGCUAGUAGACACACAGGCAUUCUUAUAUAAGUGUAAUAUUUAUCCAGUUGCCUCUUUCUUCAUUUACUUGAUAUCUUAAAUUUUGUUUCAUACAAAGAAAUGGGUUCCAUUGCCAAUUUUUCUUAUAUAUCACAAUUCUUUGUUCUUAUUCACCCCCAUGUACUGUCACCCACCAUCUUUCUUCCCACUUUGGGAUCCCCUUCCCCAUCCUACCCCCAUCCUACCCCAGCUUUCAUGACUCAUAUAUUUCCCAUUUAUUAAUAGGGCUGGGGGCUUCCACUCAGUUGGAAAUAGCAACAUCUCCUAACAUUUUCCGCAGCAAAACUGCUUGAAAGUGUACAGAGAGAAAGAGACAAAAAAAAAACAAAAAACAAAAAACAAAAAAAACAACAACUCUGUGUUCACAUAAAGGGGUGCCAGGCCUUUCCCUGCUGUUAAGUAAUGAAGAGAGGUAGGGAGUUGUUUGUUUCUAGGUUGUCAAGCAGAGGUGGUAGUUGGUCAAAGUGGCAGUAAUUACAAUGGCUGGAAG